rnacentral:rRNA from 1 species
CAGCCGCCGCGGGAAUACGUAGGGUGCAAGCGUUAAUCGGAAUUACUGGGCGUAAAGCGUGCGUAGGCGGUUCGUUAAGUCUGUUGUGAAAGCCCCGGGCUCAACCUGGGAAUGGCAAUGGAUACUGGCGAGCUAGAGUGUGUCAGAGGAUGGUGGAAUUCCCGGUGUAGCGGUGAAAUGCGUAGAGAUCGGGAGGAACAUCAGUGGCGAAGGCGGCCAUCUGGGACAACACUGACGCUGAGGCACGAAAGCGUGGGGAGCAAACAGGAUUAGAUACCCCCGUAGUCCCUGUCUCUUAUAC